UUCUAGCUGUAGAGUCAUUUUGAAUAUAAUAAUAUUAAGCCGCAUUUUGAUCCUAUAUAUAUGUUGAGCUAUCAUAAACCUGGAACUGCAAGAGAGAAAAAAAAAAUUAAUAUGGUUAUUAGAAAUGGUGUGAAGAAGGCAUUAGUAGUGUUGAUGAUUGGAAUAUUUACUUAUUCUGCCAUUGCUGAAUUUCGGACUCCAUCUUAUUGUAUUUCAGCUAAUGAUGAGAUAAAACUACAAGAAUGUAUAAAGAGAUGUCAGAGAAGGUGGUAUAAACGUGACUUCUUGGAGAUGGUGGCAUGCAUGGGGGUAUGUUGGCAUGGCAUGGAUCCAUGGCGUACGCGUGGUGAUCCAUAUGGAUGAAAAGUAUUUCUUCCGCUAUAGUACUACUUUAGUAAUGACUCCAUAUGAGACAGCGUCCGACUUGUUCUGGUAUCGGAGGUGUCGACGUCCGAGUUUUUCGUGAGAAGGUGGAGGUGGUACCUGCAAGAGACUUCGAUGCUUAGGUUAGCAAGGGUUUAAGGAAGAAUAUAUGACGGGAGGGUGGAAGUCGGCCAAUUUAAGAAAUUAUAAUAUAGGAACAGCGUUGCGAGUAUAGCUCUCAACCAGCUGAAAUCCGCUCCAUCAAUUUAGAAAGGUUGUCACAAAAUUUUAGAAUAAAAAUACUGGGAGUAUGAGUCCCAGGUCGUCU